CAGCGGUAAUUAUAGCCUUAUAACAUUUAAUUCAGAUGGAAAAGCAUCAGACGAGCAGACUCUACACUUGUUUGUUCAAGCUCCUGUAUCCUCUGUCCUGCUGGUCUCUGAGUGUCUGUCCCAGGGAGAGAGGAGGGUGUCCUGCUCCUCUGAGGGAGGGGACAGUCCUCAGUACAGCUGGACUCUGGAUGGACGCACACUGACAGAUGCUGAGCUCCUUUCUGUAAAUAAUGAGACUAACAUCAUCACUCUGAGACAGCACAUGUCAGGACAUCUGGUCUGCUCAGUCAGGAACAACGUCAGUAAUGUUUUCAUAGAACACAGGCUGUCUACCUGUGCUCUGUCAGUGGGAUACAGACAUCAGGAUAAGAUGCUUAUAUGUGGUUUGAGAGCAGUUGUGGUCAUUCUCUUGUUAAUUGGGAUUCCCAUCUACUUCGCUUGGAGGAAAAAGAAACAUGCCAAAGCUGAAG
ensembl:lncRNA